rnacentral:misc_RNA from 1 species
GAGAUUUUAUCUAUGCUUUUGGAGCGAUCUAUGGAUCCAGAUGUUGUGAAUCGUCACAAACAGACUCCGCUUAUGCUGGCUGCGAUGCAUGGCAAAAUAGCUUGUUUGAAAAAGCUAAUCGAAGCUGGAGCAAAUAUUUUAAAGUUUGAUUCACUUAAUGAAAGAACUUGCUUGCACUAUGCUGCUUACUACGGCCAUUCUGAUUG